rnacentral:tmRNA from 1 species
GGGACUGUUUUGGUUUCGACAUUUAGAUUUGUUUAAUUUAUGAUUCAGGCCGAAGCUUGUAAUCUUCGUAAAAAUCUACAAAAUUUAAAAUAAAUGCUAACAAUAUCGUUCUUUUUAUUGCUAAAACAGUAAACUUUAAUAUUAAUAAAAGUAAUUUACAAUUUGCUUUUUAAUAAUUUAUAAAGUUUUAUUCUAUCAAUUUGUUCAUUAUAUAUUCUGAGAAUUUCAGAUAUUUAGUUUAGAAUAAUUUUAAAAAUACCAUUUGUUCUUAGAAACUAAGCCUGUGAACGAGUAAAUUCCUCAAUUUUAAAUGGACAUGGGUUCAAAUCCCAUCAGUUCCA